UGCAGUUAUCGCGUUAAACGGGGUUUUAGUUUCAAAAUGGUGGUGUUAUCCUCCAGGGUCUGGAGCUACACACCGCAUUACUGGUUAUAAUUUGAUUUCAGGUGGUGGUGAAGGUUUAAUUCCCAGCGUAUAUGCGGUUAACUCUGUAAAACUGCUGCUUCGUGAUCAGGAAAUAAUAAUGUCAGUGCAUCUGAGCGGUUUUGCGGAUGCAGAAAUAAGAACAAACCACAACGCCGGGACAUUGCCUGCCAUGGAGCGAACGGGGAUGCGUUAGUGCAUUGCAACACAAAAUUAUGUUUCGUGAUUUUGCUUUUCCUGGGUAAAUUACUACCGAUUUACUGAAUCAAAUUAAAGGUAUAUAUGCACUGAUGCAAACGUGUAAAUGGCACAACUACGUGGGUGGCUACAGCAUAACUAGCUCAAUGGAAGUGUCUGUGAGGCUUAAACGUGUAACCAUUAGACGCCGCACUCUCCGGUACUCACAGCACUGCAGCGCUCGCCAUCAUCGUGCUCUCCGUCUUUUCCCGUUUCCCUGCACACCUGGGAGCUGAUGCGAGCGCGCUCCGGACGGCAUGCGCGCGGACACCGGGCGAGCACGCGACCGUGCUUUUCGAGCGAGACAGUGGACGCGCGCUGCGACAGGAGAGAAGCGCCUGAGUGGAUGAUAUCUUCUAAAUAAACACCCACGCGCUCUCUCUGCUUGCCAGCACGUCUGAAACUAUUUGUAUGGAAUAUGAAAUUUGUUAAUGUCCUAGCUGUAACUAUAUAUGGCCGUGGCUUAUUCUAAUGAGAUUCUAAAUUGACAUGUGGCACGUAUAUUUGACGUGGUUAAAAUGUCUACGUUAUAUUUGGGGCAGAUUUGUAGGGUAUAUUCCGUAUUUCGUGCUUAAAUCAACGUUGCUUCUUCCACGGCAGAUGUAUCACCCCUGCAUCACCCCAAGAAAAGAUUAGUUGAUUCUAAAUAGCAUAUUCAUAAUUUAAUUGAAAUACCAUUGCAGCAGAUGAAACAUAUUGUGUGUAAUCCUUUGACGUUAGACCUUCGUGGGAUGACACCAUUUCAUUGUUUUUCCUUGACUUGUCAUCGGAUGUCACAUGACACAGUAUAAACACCUAGAAGGCAUAAUGAAGUAUACAGCUGGAUGGGCCAGAAUCAUUGGCACGGUGUUUUAAGUAUUUUAAACCCUACAUUAGUCUG